UCCAGCAGCCAUAUCACCUUGCAAACCACUGAAGCUCAGCCAGUGUGAGCCUGCUCAAUACCUGGAUGGGAGACCUCCUAGGAAAGCUAAGGUUGCUGCUGGAA
rnacentral:rRNA from 1 species